rnacentral:rRNA from 1 species
CUACGGGAGGCUCCAGUGAGGAAUAUUGCACAAUGGGGGGAACCCUGAUGCAGCAACGCCGCGUGGAGGAUGACGCAUUUCGGUGUGUAAACUCCUUUUAUAUGUCAAGAAAAUGACGGUAGCAUAUGAAUAAGCACCGGCUAACUCCGUGCCAGCAGCCGCCGUAAUACGGAGGGUGCAAGCGUUACUCGGAAUCACUGGGCGUAAAGGACGCGUAGGCGGGUUGGAAAGUCAGGUGUGAAAUCCUACAGCUUAACUGUAGAACUGCACUUGAAACUUCUAAUCUAGAGUAUGGGAGGGGGAGGUGGAAUUAGUGGUGUAGGGGUAAAAUCCGUAGAUAUCACUAGGAAUACCUAAAGCGAAGGCGAUCUCCUGGAACAUUACUGACGCUAAGGCGUGAAAGCGUGGGGAGCAAACAGGAUUAGAUACCCCCGUAGUC